AGAGUUUGAUCCUGGCUCAGGACGAACGCUGGCGGCGUGCCUAAUACAUGCAAGUCGAGCGGACAGAUGGGAGCUUGCUCCCUGAUGUUAGCGGCGGACGGGUGAGUAACACGUGGGUAACCUGCCUGUAAGACUGGGAUAACUCCGGGAAACCGGGGCUAAUACCGGAUGGUUGUUUGAACCGCAUGGUUCAAACAUAAAAGGUGGCUUCGGCUACCACUUACAGAUGGACCCGCGGCGCAUUAGCUAGUUGGUGAGGUAACGGCUCACCAAGGCAACGAUGCGUAGCCGACCUGAGAGGGUGAUCGGCCACACUGGGACUGAGACACGGCCCAGACUCCUACGGGAGGCAGCAGUAGGGAAUCUUCCGCAAUGGACGAAAGUCUGACGGAGCAACGCCGCGUGAGUGAUGAAGGUUUUCGGAUCGUAAAGCUCUGUUGUUAGGGAAGAACAAGUACCGUUCGAAUAGGGCGGUACCUUGACGGUACCUAACCAGAAAGCCACGGCUAACUACGUGCCAGCAGCCGCGGUAAUACGUAGGUGGCAAGCGUUGUCCGGAAUUAUUGGGCGUAAAGGGCUCGCAGGCGGUUUCUUAAGUCUGAUGUGAAAGCCCCCGGCUCAACCGGGGAGGGUCAUUGGAAACUGGGGAACUUGAGUGCAGAAGAGGAGAGUGGAAUUCCACGUGUAGCGGUGAAAUGCGUAGAGAUGUGGAGGAACACCAGUGGCGAAGGCGACUCUCUGGUCUGUAACUGACGCUGAGGAGCGAAAGCGUGGGGAGCGAACAGGAUUAGAUACCCUGGUAGUCCACGCCGUAAACGAUGAGUGCUAAGUGUUAGGGGGUUUCCGCCCCUUAGUGCUGCAGCUAACGCAUUAAGCACUCCGCCUGGGGAGUACGGUCGCAAGACUGAAACUCAAAGGAAUUGACGGGGGCCCGCACAAGCGUGGAGCAUGUGGUUUAAUUCGAAGCAACGCGAAGAACCUUACCAGGUCUUGACAUCCUCUGACAAUCCUAGAGAUAGGACGUCCCCUUCGGGGGCAGAGUGACAGGUGGUGCAUGGUUGUCGUCAGCUCGUGUCGUGAGAUGUUGGGUUAAGUCCCGCAACGAGCGCAACCCUUGAUCUUAGUUGCCAGCAUUCAGUUGGGCACUCUAAGGUGACUGCCGGUGACAAACCGGAGGAAGGUGGGGAUGACGUCAAAUCAUCAUGCCCCUUAUGACCUGGGCUACACACGUGCUACAAUGGACAGAACAAAGGGCAGCGAAACCGCGAGGUUAAGCCAAUCCCACAAAUCUGUUCUCAGUUCGGAUCGCAGUCUGCAACUCGACUGCGUGAAGCUGGAAUCGCUAGUAAUCGCGGAUCAGCAUGCCGCGGUGAAUACGUUCCCGGGCCUUGUACACACCGCCCGUCACACCACGAGAGUUUGUAACACCCGAAGUCGGUGAGGUAACCUUUUAGGAGCCAGCCGCCGAAGGUGGGACAGAUGAUUGGGGUGAAGUCGGAACAAGGUAG
rnacentral:rRNA from 1 species